rnacentral:rRNA from 1 species
CUGGCUCAGGACGAACGCUGGCGGCGUGCUUAACACAUGCAAGUCGAGCGGUAAGGCCCUUCGGGGUACACGAGCGGCGAACGGGUGAGUAACACGUGAGCAACCUGCCCCUGACUCUGGGAUAAGCGGUGGAAACGCCGUCUAAUACCGGAUACGACCCGCCACCUCAUGGUGGAGGGUGGAAAGUUUUUCGGUCAGGGAUGGGCUCGCGGCCUAUCAGCUUGUUGGUGGGGUAACGGCCUACCAAGGCGAUUACGGGUAGCCGGCCUGAGAGGGCGACCGGCCACACUGGGACUGAGACACGGCCCAGACUCCUGCGGGAGGCAGCAGUGGGGAAUAUUGCGCAAUGGGCGAAAGCCUGACGCAGCGACGCCGCGUGGGGGAUGACGGCCUUCGGGUUGUAAACCUCUUUUACCACCAACGCAGGCUCCCAGUUCUCUGGGGGUUGACGGUAGGUGGGGAAUAAGGACCGGCUAACUACGUGCCAGCAGCCGCGGUAAUACGUAGGGUCCGAGCGUUGUCCGGAAUUAUUGGGCGUAAAGAGCUCGUAGGCGGCGUGUCGCGUCUGCUGUGAAAGACCGGGGCUUAACUCCGGUUCUGCAGUGGAUACGGGCAUGCUAGAGGUAGGUAGGGGAGACUGGAAUUCCUGGUGUAGCGGUGAAAUGCGCAGAUAUCAGGAGGAACACCGGUGGCGAAGGCGGGUCUCUGGGCCUUACCUGACGCUGAGGAGCGAAAGCAUGGGGAGCGAACAGGAUUAGAUACCCUGGUAGUCCAUGCCGUAAACGUUGGGCGCUAGGUGUGGGGACUUUCCACGGUUUCCGCGCCGUAGCUAACGCAUUAAAGCGCCCCGCCUGGGGAGUACGGCCGCAAGGCUAAAACUCAAAGGAAUUGACGGGGGCCCGCACAAGCGGCGGAGCAUGUUGCUUAAUUCGACGCAACGCGAAGAACCUUACCAAGGUUUGACAUCACCCGUGGACUCGCAGAGAUGUGAGGUCAUUUAGUUGGCGGGUGACAGGUGGUGCAUGGCUGUCGUCAGCUCG